UCGGGAAUUUUGCACAAUGGCCGAAAGGCUGAUGCAGCAACGCCGCGUGAGCGAAGAAGGCCUUCGGGUUGUAAAGCUCUGUUGCCUGCGAAGAAGGGCCCUGUCAGGAAAUGGGCGGGGUUUGACGGUAGCAGGCGAGGAAGCCCCGGCAAACUACGUGCCAGCAGCCGCGGUAAUACGUAGGGGGCGAGCGUUGUCCGGAAUUACUGGGCGUAAAGGGCGUGUAGGCGGCCUGUUAAGUCAGGGGUGAAAGACCGGGGCUCAACCCCGGGGGUGCCUCUGAAACUGGCGGGCUUGAGUGCUCUAGAGGGCAGUGGAAUUCCCGGUGUAGCAGUGAAAUGCGUAGAGAUCGGGAGGAACACCAGUGGCGAAGGCGGCUGCCUGGGGAGUCACUGACGCUGAGGCGCGAAAGCUAGGGGAGCAAACAGG
rnacentral:rRNA from 2 species